CCGGCGUGGUGUUCGGCUGCCUGAUGCCGGCGCCCUGGCUGGGCGCGGCCGCGGGCCUGCUGCUUGCGCUCGGUCCUGCGGCCGGGCUGCCGGAC
rnacentral:tRNA from 1 species